rnacentral:ribozyme from 13 species
AAACAAUAUUGGUCAAAAAAUCGUCCGCUUCCUUUUCUCCCUUUUCCUUUUCUUUCUCUUUUUCCUUUUCUCUCUCAAU